rnacentral:lncRNA from 1 species
GUGUAUCUCUAAAUGAAAGAUAUCUAGGAACUGUCAGACUUUUACUUCAGGUUUUCUUUUUCUUUAAAUAGUCCCCUUUGCUGUCUCUAAGGCCUGUGUCGGUCCUGGGCACAUGGUGGUCAGAAAGUCUAAAGGAGUCCAGUCAUCUCUAGACUGAGUUCAAGCUGUUCCUUCAAUAGUAGUAUCGACAAGGACUUGAGUGAGGUUUGGUAUCCAAAAUAUUGAGUUUAUAUUCCCAGCAGAACUUUAUUUCUCAGUGUGGCCAUUUAUUUUGGCAUUGUUAUUGUCAAGGGCCC